UACGAAGGGGCUAGCGUUGCUCGGAAUCACUGGGCGUAAAGCGCACGUAGGCGGAUUGCUAAGUCAGGGGUGAAAUCCUGGAGCUCAACUCCAGAACUGCCUUUGAUACUGGCGAUCUCGAGUCCGGGAGAGGUGAGUGGAACUGCGAGUGUAGAGGUGAAAUUCGUAGAUAUUCGCAAGAACACCAGUGGCGAAGGCGGCUCACUGGCCCGGUACUGACGCUGAGGUGCGAAAAGCGUGGGGAGCAAACAGG
rnacentral:rRNA from 1 species